CCUGCCAGUAGUCAUAUGCUUGUCUCAAAGAUUAAGCCAUGCAUGUCUAAGUACAUACCUUUGCACGGUGAAACCGCGAAUGGCUCAUUAAAUCAGUUAUGGUUCCUUAGAUCGUUCUUUUUACAUGGAUAACUGUGGUAAUUCUAGAGCUAAUACAUGCAAAAAGCUCCGACCGUAUGGGAAGAGCGCUUUUAUUAGACCAAAACCAAUGGGGUCGCAAGAUCCCUUUGUCUGGUGACUCUGGAUAACUUUGUGCUGAUCGCAUGGCCUUGAGCCGGCGACGUAUCUUUCAAGUGUCUGCCCUAUCAACUUUCGAUGGUAAGCGAUUUGCCUACCAUGGUUGUAACGGGUAACGGGGAAUCAGGGUUCGAUUCCGGAGAGGGAGCAUGAGAAAUGGCUACCACAUCUACGGAAGGCAGCAGGCGCG
rnacentral:rRNA from 1 species